UGUACGUGUGCACAAUAGGUAGAUCCACAUACAUAAUUUGUCAUCUUUGCUUUCUUCUCUGAAACUAUGUAAGAUCGUUGAUGUGUCUGGUUAAUUUUCUCUUCCAUGUCUCUUCUUUGAGGUUGCUCUCUGUGUGGUGAGUUCUGCAUAGGGUUUAGUCUUACCAGUGUGUCGAGAAGUGCUCCCGAGUCAAUCUGAUGAUGAAAUUUCACAUUUGACUAUCGACAUUGAAGGGGAUGUGUUGAAGUUGGGUAAAUCACUUAGAAAACACGAAGAGCUAUAUGUGGAGCUAUGAUAAAUUUAAAGUGACUUCUGCGGAUGAACAAAUGCAUAUUUUGAUCUUAAAGGUAGUUUCAUUUGCAUGUGGAGCUAUGCUAAAUCUGAGAUUACUUUUACGAAAGGAGGAAUUUGAUGGCUUAUGCUCAAACUGGUUCUAGAAAAACUGUUGCUUUCUGGUUCCCCAUCAUAAAUGGGAUCAUGAGGGGACAAUUUCCUAGAUCUCCACGUCCACUUAUGGUAUUUCCUCUUGCUCUUAUUAUUUCUUCGACGAGGGAGCUCUCAUGCCAGGUAAGUUUUUCGGAUUAUUAGCCUGUAUAUACUCUAACAAGAGAAGAAAAUAUGAAGAAGAAUUAAUACAUUGAUAUAUGGUUUGCUUCAGAAAAUAAGUUUAAGUUUUAUCUGAAGGGUUGAGGGUUAUGUCGUGAUCUGCAGAUUCAUGAUGAGGCUAAAAGAUUUUCAUAUCAAACUGGCAUCAAGGUGGUUGUUGCCUAUAGUGGUCCAAAUAUGGAACAGAUUUCCACCUUCUCAAUAUAUGUGUAGUAGCUUUUCUUUAAUGUUACCAGUCUCAAAAUAAAUGUAGUAGCUUUUCUUUUCAACCCCUUUUCAGGCAAUAUUGUGGGCUCGUAAUAUAAUAUAAGAAUAUGAGGGUGAGGCUUGAGAGAGCUUGAUUCACUGUAUUGUUUAAUGUGCAUAAGUUUUAUCUUCCUUUGGUACAUCACUACAUUGCUAUCAUGUCUUAUAUUUUACCCUUAUUGAUAAAAAAAACUUUCAUGUGAUUUAUUUCUAACAGUUAUUUUAUGUCGUGACACUAUUAACAACUUCGAGAAUUAGAGAGAGGCGUGCAGAUUAUUGUAGCAACCCCUAGAAGGUUGGUAGAUUUACUUGAUAGAGCAAGAGUUUCAUUGCAGAUGAUAAGAUAUUUGGCUCUAGACGAGGCUGACCGAAUGCUUGACAUGGGUUUUGAACCUCAAAUAAGGAAAAUGGUGCAGCAGAUGGACAUGCCUCCGCCAGGUGUACAACGACCAUAUUUUUCAGUUCCACUUUCCCAAAAGAGAUUCAGGUUAUGUUUUUACAUUGGCAAGCUUUUCAUUUAUUAGGUCAUUCUGCAUAUUUGAUCAAUUCAAAUUGAAAUAAAAUGAUCUUAACAAUGUUUGAUGCGGUUUGUCUGCCACAUCUCUGUUGUAUUUCUGAGUUUU